rnacentral:rRNA from 1 species
UACGAAGGGGGCUAGCGUUGCUCGGAAUCACUGGGCGUAAAGGGUGCGUAGGCGGGUCUUUAAGUCAGGGGUGAAAUCCUGGAGCUCAACUCCAGAACUGCCUUUGAUACUGAGGAUCUUGAGUCCGGGAGAGGUGAGUGGAACUGCGAGUGUAGAGGUGAAAUUCGUAGAUAUUCGCAAGAACACCAGUGGCGAAGGCGGCUCACUGGCCCGGUACUGCCGCUGAGGCACGAAAGCGUGGGGAGCAAACAGG